rnacentral:tRNA from 1 species
CGCUUUAGCUCAGUCGGUAGAGCAGCUCAUUCGUAAUGAGCAGGUCGCGGGUUCGAGUCCCGUUCGCG